UACGGGAGGGGCAAGCGUUGUUCGGAAUUACUGGGCGUAAAGGGCUCGUAGGCGGCCAACUAAGUCAGACGUGAAAUCCCUCGGCUUAACCGGGGAACUGCGUCUGAUACUGGAUGGCUUGAGAUUGGGAGAGGGAUGCGGAAUUCCAGGUGUAGCGGUGAAAUGCGUAGAUAUCUGGAGGAACACCGGUGGCGAAGGCGACAUCCUGGACCAACACUGACGCUGAGGCGGCGAAAGCUAGGGGAGCAAACA
rnacentral:rRNA from 1 species